rnacentral:rRNA from 1 species
GAUGAACGCUGGCGGCGUGCCUAACACAUGCAAGUCGAACGGAGUUUAUAUUGUGAAGUUUUCGGAUGGAAUAAUAUAAACUUAGUGGCGGACGGGUGAGUAACGCGUGGGUAACCUGCCUCACACAGGGGGAUAACAGUUGGAAACGGCUGCUAAAACCGCAUAAGCAUACAUUGCCGCAUGGCAGAGUGUGAAAAUAUUUAUAGGUGUGAGAUGGGCCCGCGUCUGAUUAGCUAGUUGGUAGGGUAACGGCCUACCAAGGCGACGAUCAGUAGCCGGCUUGAGAGAGUGACCGGCCACAUUGGGACUGAGACACGGCCCAAACUCCUACGGGAGGCAGCAGUGGGGAAUAUUGCACAAUGGGGGAAACCCUGAUGCAGCGACGCCGCGUGAGUGAAGAAGUAUUUCGGUAUGUAAAGCUCUAUCAGCAGGGAAGAAAAUGACGGUACCUGACUAAGAAGCCCCGGCUAACUACGUGCCAGCCGCCGCUGUAAUAC